rnacentral:tRNA from 1 species
GCCUGGGUGGCUCAGUUGGUUAAGCACCUGCCUUUGACUCAGGUCAUGAUCUCCAGGUCCUAGGAUCAAGCCCUGCUUCAGGCU